rnacentral:rRNA from 1 species
AUUGAACGCUGGCGGGAGGCCUAACACAUGCAAGUCGAACGAGUGGCGGACGGGUGAGUAAUGUCUGGGAAACUGCCUGAUAGCGGGGGAUAACUACUGGAAACAGUAGCUAAUACCGCAUACCAUCGGAUGUGCCCAGAUGGGAUUAGCUAGUAGGUGGGGUAAAGGCUCACCUAGGCGACGAUCCCUAGCUGGUCUGAGAGGAUGACCAGCCACACUGGAACUGAGACACGGCCCAGACUCCUACGGGAGGCAGCAGUGGGGAAUAUUGGACAAUGGGCGAAAUCCUGAUGCAGCCAUGCCGCGUGUAUGAAGAAGGCCUUCGGGUUGUAAAGUACUUUCAGCGGGGAGGCGGUACCUGCAGAAUAAGCACCGGCUAACUCCGUGCCAGCAGCCGCGGUAAUUC